AGCUCUGUGGUGUAGACACAUCGGAUUGCAAAUCCGAAGACGCGAGUGAUUUCGCCGGGGCUU
rnacentral:tRNA from 1 species